GCCGCGGGGAGACGCGCGCCCCGGGGGUUAACCCCUUGCGGCCCGCGGCGGGGCGGGGGGGGGGAGUGUGCAGCGGGACGGGGCCGCGCCGUCGGGGGGAUGCUGCUGGACGGGAGGACGGCACCCGGGUUUUUUGGGGCACGGGGGAACGGAGCAGGGCGCGUCCACACGGCGCCCCCGGGCUCGGCUUCGCCCCUCGAAGGGCACCCACGCGCCCUUGACCUGCUCCUGCCCGGCCGGGCGCCCACCUCCAGCAUCCUCCUGCCCCGCCGGAAUCGGUUCGCAACGACUUUGGCGAGAGAGAAAUGUUUUCCCACAUCGUCCUUAGCGGACAAAAUAAAUGAAGACAAUAGAUAACCCCGCCUCGAUACGCAGCGCCUCGCCGGAGAUGGUCUUCGCCUGGCUCAAGGAGAAGAGGGCUCAUCCUUCCGUGCCGGUGCGAUGCAACUCGCUCGCUGAAGCACUGUCAGGAUGUCCUGAUGCUUCAGGAAAGAGUCGACGGCACACACGCAGAGGAAAAAGACGGCUGCAAAACCUCUCUCAAGGGCACAAACCCUAUAUAUAAUGUAUAAAAAAAGGUCUCCCGGGUGGGAGUACCUCCCACGGGGAAAAGGCGAUGCUCCAGCUUUUCCUCCAGGACUCGUCCCUGUUUUACCUCCCGACGUGCUUACAGAAAUACGGAGCCUCCUGCCGGGUCUCGCAGGGGCUCGGGUGGAAGAUGGCAAUGGCACAAACGGGGAUUCCUCCUGCAAGGGGGUUUCACCCCCCUCCGACUCUGCUGCUGGCGGGGAAGAUGCGGUUCGUGGCUUUUACCUCGGCCGUGCCUCUCCCUGGCUGCGCACCAAACGAAUGUAAAGGUGCCCUGGUUAGCUCGCUGGUUUUGCAGGAAAAUCUCAGGUCGUCUGCUUUUGAACGGGUUUCGACCCUAUUUCUUAAACAGUAACAGCCUAUUUCCAGGCAGAUGUAACCGCAGCUGUAACUGCGUGCCUCUGAGACAAGCCCCAGGCAGGAUUCGUCCAUACGUGCCUGGGGGACCUCACGUAAACCUCUGCUGCGACACUCAGCCCCCAAAUCGCUUUGUAAAUUGGCGUCAGGAGCCCGCUGAGGUGUCGAGAGUGAGAUGUUUAUGGACUGCAGGGACAGAAGGACAUGAC